AGACUAAAGCUGCAUCUCAUGUCGCUUAAAUUGCAUCCUCGACUCCUCCACUUGCCUCCCUUCCAGGUAUCACGGGAGGAGAGAGGCAACAAGUAGAUGUGGUUUAGAGGGAUGAGACGUCCUUUCUUCUGAAGCGUCCUAUUAAUUUGUCAGCUGUUUGGGCGGAGUUAGCAACUCCUUCAACUGCACGUCUUCCAGGAAGGCUGCUCUUGUGUAUCCUUGGCUGUAGAUCCUCUGGGAUCCCUCCUCAAUGCUCGCUCCUUGGUCCUCGGGGCAGAAAUAAGAGCUUUGAGACAGCCUUUUCCCAAGGAGGGACAGAACAACUUCCGGUUCAGCCGAGGACCGAGGAGUCGAGGAGCUACCAAAUAAGGGACAUGGGAUAGAUGCAGUCAGACUACAAUACAUG